GCAGCCUAUCCAGAAUGUGCCUUCU
rnacentral:piRNA from 1 species